GUUUGGUCCAGAAGUCCCGAAAUAUUCUGUCGAGGCUCUCCAGGACAGGGGCCAUUGUGGUGCUAGAUUCUGGCGGGCACAUGGCGUGUGCCAUUUCAUUGCAGAGAAUGUGGCUAUCGCUUGUAGCUGUUAGAGGACACCCACCAGAGCCCUGAAGAUGUUGCCGGGAUAUCCCUCACCAGCAAGGGAGGGGGGGGACAGGGGAAGACCCUCGGAGUCGCAGAAUUUGAAACAGUCGGCACGGGGAUCGACCGCAUCCCCUGGACCAGCCCUUAGUAGGCCGCUUCAAG